ACCCUACUGACGGAUUGAACGACAGCCAGUAGCGAGAACUGGGUAGGGU
rnacentral:sRNA from 12 species